AACGAGACCUUACCCUGCUAAAUAGGUGCGCGUAUGCUCGUACUGCGUUGCACUCUUCUUAGAGGGACUAUAUGCGUCUAGUAUAUGGAAGUUUGAGGCAAUAACAGGUCUGUGAUGCCCUUAGAUGUUCUGGGCUGCACGCGCGCUACACUGAUGCAUUCAACGAGUCACACUUUUACGUCCUUGGUUUUAUGACCUGGGUAAUCUUGGGAACGUGCAUCGUGCUGGGGAUAGAUCAUUGCAAUUUUUGGUCUUCAACGAGGAAUUCCUUGUAGGCGCAGGUCAUCAGCCUGCGCCGAAUACGUCCCUGCCCUUUGUACACACCGCCCGUCGCUCCUACCGAUUGAAUGGUCCGAUGAAGUGCUUAGAUCUUGGGGAGCGGCCUGGAGGUCAAAGUCCAGUACGUGAACCUUGAAAAGAUCAUUGAAUCUUACCCUUUAGAGGAA
rnacentral:rRNA from 1 species